AGCUGCAGUAUCUUGACUGUACAAAGGUAGCAUAAUCAUUAGUUUCUUAAUUGGAAGCUGGAAUGAAUGGCUGAAUAAGGAAAUAACUGUCUCUUUUUAAUUAAAUUGAAUUUUAUUUUUAAGUUAAAAAGCUUAAAUUUUAUAGAAAGACGAGAAGACCCUAUAGAGUUUGAUAAAUUUAAAUUUCUAUAGUUUAGGAUUUUAUUAUGUAAAAAUUUAAAUUUAUUUUAUUGGGGUGAUAAUGGAAUUUAAUAAACUUCUUUUUUCUAAUCAUUGAUGCAUGAAUAGAUGAUCCUAACUUUUAGAUUAAAAGAAUAAAUUACCUUAGGGAUAACAGCGUAAUUCUUUUGGAGAGUUCUUAUCAAUAAAAGAGAUUGCGACCUCGAUGUUGGAUUAAAGUUUAAUUAUGGUGUAGAAGCUAUAAAUUUAAGACUGUUCGAC
rnacentral:rRNA from 1 species